rnacentral:rRNA from 1 species
UAGGGAAUCUUCGGCAAUGGGGGGAAACCUGACCGAGCAACGCCGCGUGAGUGAAGAAGGUUCUCGGAUCGUAAAGCCCUGUUGUUAAGGAAGAACGAGUGUGAGAAUGGAAAGUUCAUACUGUGACGGUACUUAACCAGAAAGGGACGGCUAACUACGUGCCAGCAGCCGCGGUCAUACGUAGGUCCCGAGCGUUGUCCGGAUUUAUUGGGCGUAAAGCGAGCGCAAGCGGUUAGAUAAGUCUGAAGUUAAAGGCAGUGGCCCAACCAUUGUAGGCUUUGGAAACUGUUUAACUGGAGAGCAGAAGGGGAGGGUGGAAUUCCAUGGGUAGCGGUGAAAGGCGUAGAUAUAUGGAGGAACACCGGUGGCGAAAGCGGCUCUCUGGUCUGUAACUGACGCUGAGGCUCGAAAGCGUGGGGAGCGAACAGG